rnacentral:rRNA from 1 species
UACGUAGGUCGCAAGCGUUGUCCGGAUUUACUGGGCGUAAAGGGCUCGUAGGCGGCCAACUAAGUCAGACGUGAAAUCCCUCGGCUUAACCGGGGAACUGCGUCUGAUACUGGAUGGCUUGAGAUUGGGAGAGGGAUGCGGAAUUCCAGGUGUAGCGGUGAAAUGCGUAGAUAUCUGGAGGAACACCGGUGGCGAAGGCGGCAUCCUGGACCAACACUGACGCUGAGGAGCGAAAGCCAGGGGAGCAAACGGG